UUGUUGAUUCGCUCUUUGACAGUGUGAUUUUGAAGUUCCAAAGAAUAAGUAAUAUAUACACGUGCGCGAAACUGAUGCGCUUGUUAGGAGAAUAGCCCAGCCAGCAAAAAAAUCCGAAAAUUAAUCCGAAAACGGGAAGAAAAGUGGAUGAAACGCGGAUUAGGUAUACACAAGUAGCGAAAGUGGUUGUGAAAAGGUUUAUGCAUACGUUUUGAAUCACGGCGAAGUGGGUUAAAGCGCUUUAUGUGUCGGUAUAAACAAGGCUUCAGAACAUAAACGCAGCGAGAAAGAAAUUGGUGAUAUUGCUGGUGUACCCGAUGUAACAAUAAGGCAGUCGUAUAAAUUGAUGUAUCCCCAUGCAUUAAAGUUAUUUCCGGAGGAUUUCAAAUUCACUACCCCUAUUGAUCAGCUACCACAAAUGUAGACAUAAUGAGCUUUUAUAAAUCCGAAUUAAUACCUUAGUAAAGUGGGUCCAAAAUAAACAUUUGUGAAAAAAA